AGAGUUUGAUCCUGGCUCAGGAUGAACGCUAGCUACAGGCUUAACACAUGCAAGUCGAGGGGCAGCAUGACGGAAGCUUGCUUUCGUUGAUGGCGACCGGCGCACGGGUGAGUAACGCGUAUCCAACCUGCCCUUGUCCAUCGGAUAACCCGUCGAAAGGCGGACUAACACGAUAUGCAGUUCUCAGCAGGCAUCUAACGAGAACGAAAUGUGAAGGAGAAGGAUGGGGAUGCGUCUGAUUAGCUUGUUGGCGGGGUAACGGCCCACCAAGGCGACGAUCAGUAGGGGUUCUGAGAGGAAGGUCCCCCACAUUGGAACUGAGACACGGUCCAAACUCCUACGGGAGGCAGCAGUGAGGAAUAUUGGUCAAUGGGCGAGAGCCUGAACCAGCCAAGUAGCGUGCAGGAUGACGGCCCUAUGGGUUGUAAACUGCUUUUAUACGGGGAUAAAGUGAGCCACGUGUGGCUUAUUGCAGGUACCGUAUGAAUAAGGACCGGCUAAUUCCGUGCCAGCAGCCGCGGUAAUACGGAAGGUCCGGGCGUUAUCCGGAUUUAUUGGGUUUAAAGGGAGCGUAGGCCGUCUGUUAAGCGUGUUGUGAAAUGUCGGGGCUCAACCUGGGCAUUGCAGCGCGAACUGGCAGACUUGAGUGCACGGGAAGUAGGCGGAAUUCGUCGUGUAGCGGUGAAAUGCUUAGAUAUGACGAAGAACUCCGAUUGCGAAGGCAGCCUGCUGUAGUGCAACUGACGCUGAAGCUCGAAAGCGUGGGUAUCGAACAGGAUUAGAUACCCUGGUAGUCCAUGCCGUAAACGAUGAUUACUAGGUGUUGGAGGAUUGACCCCUUCAGUGCCGCAGUUAACACAAUAAGUAAUCCACCUGGGGAGUACGACCGCAAGGUUGAAACUCAAAGGAAUUGACGGGGGCCCGCACAAGCAGUGGAGUAUGUGGUUUAAUUCGAAGCAACGCGAAGAACCUUACCAGGUCUUGACAUCCGAUGCAUAGUGCAGAGAUGCAUGAAGUCCUUCGGGACAUCGAGACAGGUGGUGCAUGGUUGUCGUCAGCUCGUGUCGUGAGAUGUUGGGUUAAGUCCCGCAACGAGCGCAACCCUUAUCGUCAGUUACUACGCAAGAGGACUCUGGCGAGACUGCCGUUGACAAAACGGAGGAAGGUGGGGAUGACGUCAAAUCAUCAUGCCCCUUAUGACCUGGGCUACACACGUACUACAAUGGCGUUAAACAAAGAGAAGCGAGACCGCGAGGUGGAGCAAAACUCAUAAACAACGUCCCAGUUCAGAUUGCAGGCUGCAACUCGCCUGCAUGAAGUCGGAAUUGCUAGUAAUCGCAGAUCAGCAUGCUGCGGUGAAUACGUUCCCGGGCCUUGCACACACCGCCCGUCA
rnacentral:rRNA from 1 species